rnacentral:rRNA from 1 species
GGUAAGGUGAUAUGAACCGUUAUAACCGGCGAUGUCCGAAUGGGGAAACCCGGUGCACUUCGGUGCAUCAUCGUUAGCUGAAUACAUAGGCUAACGAGGCGAACCGGGGGAACUGAAACAUCUAAGUACCCCGAGGAAAAGAAAUCAACCGAGAUUCCCCCAGUAGCGGCGAGCGAACGGGGAACAGCCCAGAGCCUGAAUCAGCUUGUGUGUCAGUGGAACGGUCUGGAAAGGCCGGCGAUACAGGGUGACAGCCCCGUACACGAAGGCACACAGGCUGUGAGCUCGAUGAGUAGGGCGGGACACGUGAUAUCCUGUCUGAAGAUGGGGGGACCAUCCUCCAAGGCUAAAUACUCCUGACUGACCGAUAGUGAACCAGUACCGUGAGGGAAAGGCGAAAAGAACCCCGGCGAGGGGAGUGAAACAGAACCUGAAACCGUGUACGUACAAGCAGUGGGAGCCUUCGUAAGAGGGUGACUGCGUACCUUUUGUAUAAUGGGUCAGCGACUUAUAUUCUGUAGCAAGGUUAACCGUAUAGGGGAGCCGAAGGGAAACCGAGUCUUAACCGGGCGUUAAGUUGCAGGGUAUAGACCCGAAACCCGGUGAUCUAGCCAUGGGCAGGUUGAAGGUUGGGUAACACUAACUGGAGGACCGAACCGACUAAUGUUGAAAAAUUAGCGGAUGACCUGUGGCUGGGGGUGAAAGGCCAAUCAAACCGGGAGAUAGCUGG